rnacentral:rRNA from 1 species
UUAGAUACCCUACUAUACUAAUAAUAACCUAAAUUAUUAAUAGAUAUAUUCUUUAAAUUUGAAGAAUUUGGCGGUAGUUUAAUCUUAUUAGAGGAACCUGUUUUUAAAUCGAUAAACCACGUAGUAUCUUACUUAUUUUAUGAGUUUGUAUACCAUCAUUAUCAGAUAAUUUUAAAAGAAUUAAAUUAUUGGGAGGUUGAAAUGAUAAUAAUAAAAAUUAGAUCAAGGUGCAGCUAAUAAAUAAGUUAAAAUGGGUUACAAUAAAAUUUAUUUAUUACGGAGUAAUUAUAAUGAAAUCUGUUAUGAAGGAGGAUUUAAUUGUAAUAUAUAUAUAUUUUAAUAAGUUUAUAAGAGAUAAGCUCUAAACUAUGUACAUAUCGCCCG